rnacentral:rRNA from 1 species
UAGGGAAUCUUCGGCAAUGGACGAAAGUCUGACCGAGCAACGCCGCGUGAGUGAAGAAGGUUUUCGGAUCGUAAAACUUUGUUGUUAGAGAAGAACAAGGACGUUAGUAACUGAACGUCCCCUGACGGUAUCUAACCAGAAAGCUACGGCUAACUACGUGCCAGCAGCCGCGGUAAUACGUAGGUGGCAAGCGUUGUCCGGAUUUAUUGGGCGUAAAGCGAGCGCAGGCGGUUUCUUAAGUAUGAUGUGAAAGCACCCGGCUCAACCGGGGAGGGUCAUUGGAACCUGGGAGACUUAAGUGCAGAAGGGGUGGGUGGAAUUCCAUGUGUGGCGGUCAAAUGCGUGGAUAUAUAGAGGAAAACAAAUGGCGAGGGAGGCUCUCUGGUCUGUAACUGACGCUGGGGCUCGAAAGCGAGGGGAGCAAACAGG